ACGGGGCCCGCACAAGCGGUGAGCAUGUGGUUUAAUUCGAUGAUACGCAGGACCUUACUGGCUCAAAUGUAUGUUUGACGUAUUCUGAAAGGGAUACUUCUUUCGGACAAUAUACAAGGUGCUGCAUGGUUGUCGUCAGCUCGUGCCGUGAGGUGUCGGGUUAAGUCCCAUAACGAGCGCAACCCUAUCAUUAGUUGCCAUCAGGUCAAGCUGGGGACUCUAAUGAAACUGCCUACGCAAGUAGUGAGGAAGGUGGGGAUGACGUCAAAUCAGCACGGCCCUUACGUCCAGGGCUACACACGUGCUACAAUGGCCGGUACAAAGGGCAGCUACCUGGUGACAGGAUGCUAAUCUCAAAAGCCGGUCUCAGUUCGGAUCGGAGUCUGCAACCCGACUCCGUGAAGCUGGAAUCGCUAGUAAUCGCGCAUCAGCCAUGGCGCGGUGAAUACGUUCCCGGGCUUG
rnacentral:rRNA from 1 species